AUCGAGAGAGGGGCUUCGCGCUCCCGGGGGUUUCGGGCCCCAACUCUUCACCCAUUGUUAAUUUACUCUUGUUGCUUUGGCGGAUUCCGGGGUAAGUCUUGCGUAGGUUUGUCAUAAACCCGGGCGAGAUGUGCCCCGGCGCCCGCCGGAGGCCCAUUAAAAUCUGUUUAUUAGUGAUGUCCGAGUCAAAUACCAAUAAUAAAAACUUUCAACAACGGAUCUCUUGGUUCCAGCAUCGAUGAAGAACGCAGCGAAAUGCGAUAAGUAAUGUGAAUUGCAGAAUUCAGUGAAUCAUCGAAUCUUUGAACGCACAUUGCGCCCCUGGUAUUCCGGGGGGCAUGCCUGUUCGAGCGUCAUUACACCUCUCAAGCAUAGCUUGGUAUUGGGCUCUCGCCCCCGCGGCGUGCCCGAAAAGCAGUGGCGGUCCGGUGUGACUUUAAGCGUAGUAAAUUUCUCCCNCUUUNAAAGNUCGCCCCGUGGCCUGUUAAACAACCCUAUNNACUUCNAUAA
rnacentral:rRNA from 1 species